UUUUGCUACAGGACACGGACUUUUGGCUAGAGAAUAGGAGGAACUUCCCAAUAGCAAGAGCUGCUCUGUCACAGAACUCAGUGCCUGGGGUUGGGAGAGUAUUCUUUGACUGGAGCUGCUUACAAAGAUAUUGGGGGAAAACGGCGACAGCAACUUCCCAGUCAAGUGACCGGGUUCCAGCUGCUUUUCUCUCCUAGAAGUGGAAAAAGCAAUGAAGGUUCUUUCAUUUGGCUGAGAUCAUCUGAGGAGGAAUUCUUGGAGAGAAGCACUGUGCCCUCCUGUCAAGUUGCGUUUGACUGAAAAUAAAACCCCAG
rnacentral:lncRNA from 1 species